GCGCCCAUAGCUCAGCUGGAUAGAGCAACGGACUUCUAAUCCGUAGGUCGCAGGUUCGAAUCCUGCUGGGCGUACUA
rnacentral:tRNA from 1 species